GUGGGUUUUUCUGGGUCAGGGAGUUUUGUGUCGGUGGUGGUGGUGGAGUAUGGUGUUUGUAUUUCUAGGCUUCCCAUCAUGGGUUAGAGAAGUGGAGGUAGAGAAGGGUUGGGAAUUCAGGAGGAGAAGGAGAAAGGGUAGCUUCAGAGAAGGACCCCAAGCUCUAGAAGAAUUCACCAAUACACAUAUCUUGAGAAGUGAGAUUUACAUAUCCAUAUUAUGGGGUAUUACAACUGUCAGAGAUAUAAAUUAGUUUUAGAACAUCACCUAAUAGUUUAAAUUUUUUAUUGGCAAUAAUAUCUUGAUGUAAUUUUAUAAUUUUUAUAAGAUAAAAUAGACUUGCGCUUUGCACACUUUAAA